CACGAAGUUAGCCGGUGCUUAUUCUUUGGGUACCGUCAGAACAACCGGGUAUUAACCGAUUGCUUUUCUUUCCCAACAAAAGGGCUUUACAACCCGAAGGCCUUCUUCACCCACGCGGCAUGGCUGGAUCAGGCUUGCGCCCAUUGUCCAAUAUUCCCCACUGCUGCCUCCCGUAGGAGUCUGGACCGUGUCUCAGUUCCAGUGUGGCUGAUCAUCCUCUCAGACCAGCUACGGAUCGUCGCCUUGGUGGGCCUUUACCCCGCCAACUAGCUAAUCCGACAUCGGCUCAUUCAAUCGCGCGAAGCCCGAAGGUCCUCCGCUUUCACCCGUAGGUCGUAUGCGGUAUUAGCGUAAGUUUCCCUACGUUAUCCCCCACGAAAGAGUAGAUUCCGAUGUAUUCCUCACCCGUCCGCCACUCGCCACCCAUAAGAGCAAGCUCUUACUGUGCUGCCGUUCGACUUGCAUGUGUUAGGCCUGCCGCCAGCGUUCACUCUGAGCCAGGAUCAAACUCU
rnacentral:rRNA from 1 species